AAUAUCAACCAAUAUUUGUAAUGAACCCACUCAUUUUUCAAGACUGAGCGUCUUUGUUUAAAAAAAUGUAAUCAAACACUUCUUGAAAGUGUGAUGUCAAAUUGUGGUGGGAUUGCAAGCACAGAUUGGCUAUAAUAGAUGCAAGAUUUGGGCAAAAAUCAACGAAAGCUCUAUUAUUCCAAGAAAAACUAUUGCAUAUUUGGUAAUUUUCUGUAAACUGUGUGCUGUAUCUCUAUUAUCAAAAUUUGUUGUGUGAGGCUGGGUGCAGUAUUUACAGAGAGUUGGUUUAGGCUGUUGAACAUUUUCCAACACACCUUUGAUAUGUACCUGGGAGUGUAACAUGGUUUUGUUUUUGUAUUCUGGAGGAGUGGAGGUUCUGAGUGGAAGGGUGUGUUUGGAGUGUGAGGUCCAUGUGUGUUCAUUCUUGGGUUGUUAGGGGGUCAAUGAGAGGGCAUUUUGUGCCUGAUUAUGGGUGUGGGGGAGAUGAGGCUGGCUGUGUUCCUGGAAAUGGGAUAUUCUGUAUGGGUAUUUGUGGGCCUCUUGGGGAUUGUAGAAAUUCAGGGAGCAUGAGCUGAAUUGUGCUUGUUCUUGGGAUUGUGUUCCUAUGAAUUCAGAUUUCGGGAUGUUUGUGUGUAUUUAAUGGGUUGGUGAGAAUGUGAUAUGUGUAUUCAAAUGUGUGAAUUGAUGGUGCCAGCAUGCAUUAUUUCAGAUUAACUGGAGGUUAUGAGAAUGUCGUUUGUGUGUGGCUCAGUGAUUUUGGGGGGUUGAGAUACAAUUAAUGUAUUUCAGUGGGGUUGUUUAUUUGUAAUUUGAGGCACUGGAAAUUUUUUUUUGCAUGUUGUGCAUGCUUUCCCCAUAAAUCUUGGAGAAUCUUUUGUGUUUAAUUGUGGGUUUGGCAGAAAUAUCUGCAUAUGCAUAUGAGCAGUGUUAAGCAGUGUGUCUGUGUAUAUUAGUUUCUAGGGUCUGUGUUUUUUGUUCAUUUGGGAAACUUGGGGAUACUUGAAUUUGAAUUUAAUGGGGCAUGUUGAUUAGUGAUGUAUAUUUUGGUGAUUUUCGGGAAUUGUAUGUGUCCUUUGGUUUUUGAAGGUAGCUGUAAGACUUUUAAGUAGCUGGCAGGAUGUUGUAUAUGUUCAGAUGAAAAGAUUGUGUGAUUGUGGAGUUUGUUGAGUCUUAUUCUGGAAGUUGCUGGAGUUAUUUUUGUGAAUCUUGUCAAGUGUGGGGAAUAUGUAUAUACAGGUAGUGUGGGGCCAUAUAGGUAUUUUGAGAGUAUAGGGUGUUUGUGCAUAUUUAUAGCAUGCUGGAGAAUUGUGGGUGUAUUUGACGCAUAUGUAUAUUGAGUGUAUGUGUAUUCAGGGAUCAUGGCAGUUUGGAUGUAUAACUUCUAGGACUAUGAAAUUGAAUGUAUCAUUCGAGAAUUAUUGGUUUGCAUUCUGGGAAGUUAUUCUGUAUAUUCCUGUGUGUUUAUAUAUGGAAGUAAAUAACUUAGUUUGCCUGAGCUGCUAUGACAGACUCCACACAAGGGAUUGUCUUAAACAGGAAAUGUUUAUUGGUCUCUGGUUUGAAGCUAGAAGUCGUCCAAAUCAAGGUACAGGCAAGGCUUGCUUUCUCGUGAAUAUCUAUAGCGCUCUGGUGCUGGCGGCCAGCAAUCCUUGGAUGUAUUUCUGCCUUCUGUCACUUGCCUAUGUCCUCUCCUUUCUAGCUUCUGUAACACCUGAUUCUUUUUAUAAAAAUUGCUGCAAUCUAAUUAAAACACACCCUCAUUCAUUUGGCCACACAAUAACUAAAAGUAUCAUGUUCAGGAGAUCCUACUUACAAUAGGUUCCCACUAAUAACAGCAUGUCUAAUUUUGUGUACAUAAUUCAGUCUACCAUGGGGGUUAGUUUAUUUUAUGUUUUCCAGGUAUAUGAUGUGAUUAUAUCUGAGAAUUUGGGGUGUAGGGUAGGUUUGUGUAAUUGUGGAUUUGGAAGCAGUUUUAUGUGUACCUAUAUAGGAUAGAAUGAGAUAUUUCUUUGUGUCUUCAGUGUGUGUGACUCAUAUGUGUGUAUAUCCAGGAGUGAGUGGAUGAACUGUAUAUGUUUAUCUAUAGGAUAUAGUAUGUUAAAAGUAUUCACAGCCUUCUUUGGAAAAUGCUAUGGUUUUCAAAUGUGUCUUUGGCAAUGGUUUGGGGUUACAGAGGUGGGGUUUUAUUCUGGAUAUAUGGAGAUGAUGUAUAAUGCUUGCUGGUGUAUAUGUUCAGGUAUUGGAAAUAUUUGAGAGUGUAUGUCUGCGUUUACUGUCUGUAGGGAGAUCAUGUUUGCAUAUUAUCAAUAGUGCAGAGAUAGCUGGUGUUUGUAUGUUUUGUGUGUAUCUAUCUGAGUGUUAGCUACAUAAUUAUAAUCAUGGGUUUUGUGUAAGUGUCUUCAUAGGGAGUUUGUGUGUGUAAUAAAGGGUUCACUGAAUAUCUUUGCUUAUUCUGGAAUAAAAUGCUCGAAGGUCUUGGUACAGUUGUGUGUAUAUGUGUUUUCAGGUCCUUGUUUGUAAUUGAUGUCUAUAGUUUGUUUGUACCUCUCUAUGCAUUUGAGUUCACGGAGAUCAGGAAGUUCAUCGAGUAUGUCCUCUUUGAUAUAUGAUAGUUCAGUAUUGGAAACUAACAGUAUGUGUAGGUUGUGCAUGUGUUGAGAAAUUGUGACUAUUGUACAGUUGUGGGAUUGUGUGUAGGUCCAUUAGGGGGACAUAUGAGAUAAAUGUUUGUUUCCUUGGUGCUUUGAGAGCCUGUGCGUUUGUAGGGUGUUUAGUGUGUAUAUACCAGAAAUGUGUUUGUUGCAAGUUUGUUUUCAGGCAGGUUUGUAAUUUUUUAUGUGCCUAUCGUAGGACUGGCAUGUGGGUAUUCUAGGUGGGUAUGUUUUCACUGUAAAAAUUUAGGAAUAAUAGGUCAUUUGACUAUACUUAAGGUGUGGGUACAAUUGGGCAUGUUUGUCUAGGAUAUAUGAGAGUCUGUGUGUCUGGAGAUAUAUAGGGUGGUUUUACUGGUGUAGUUAGGGUGGGAGUUGAGGGUCCUCCUUGGGGUACAACUCCAUCCUGUAUACAUGUUCCUAUGAAAGGGGAUCAGGUUCACUGGAGCUGGUUCAUAUUAGCAAGAUAUGGUGGUUUAGAGCUGUAUGUACUCCAGAAAAAUAUGUUCUUAAUCAAUUCCCAUUGUAAUUAGUACCUUUUGAUGGGGGUAUCUCCAGUCAUGUGUCUCACCUCACCAGGAUGUGUCCUAAUCUUUUAUGAAUGGAAUUCUUUAUGAACAGAAUGCAAUUCAGACAGAAAGCCACAGGAAGCAAGAAGGUGAAAUUCAGUGGAACCCAAUCAGAAUGUCCAAUGCUUUAGGAGUAAAGACUCCCGACUUAGAUGUUGGAGAUUUUCUUCUCUUCCUCAUGCAGAUGGGUUCAGGUGUGUCUGAAGUUUAGGGUGUUCCUUCUGCUUUCAGGUGGUACUGGCAUCAGCGGACCCUAAAUGGGUAGGGGUGAUGGACAAUGGCCAUGCCGAGCAGAGCCUCCCAGCUGAGUUGUUCACAUGGCAGCCAGCAGUCCUAAGGUAGUGCAGCUUCCUGAGCAGUAAAUAAGAUGGAUCAAGUCUUCUCCCAGGCAGAGGCCACUGAGAAACUUCUGGGCAGCUACAGGUGCAAUUAGCUUCUCUUGGUCCUGAGUAGUGGUCAAGGAUAGUGUCCACCAAGGGUCCUGCUCUGGAAAGGAUUCAGAGCCAUCUGCCCCACCCCACCCCCAACCUACUGUCUGCUGCCUGGGCCUAAUAUUGGGUAGCAAGCAGGUCAGUUGUGACACUAAUUCUCAAGCAACCUACCUCCAUGGAAAGCUGAGCCUUCAGGAGUAGAGAGGACUUCUAGCUGUCAGUGAGGUGAUAUUGGAGGAAUUGCAGAGUAGGCCUGGAAAAUGAUGGUUUGUGAGGGCUGGUGACCCUGGGGAAGUCCAGAUAAGAGGGGAUUUGUCUCUGACUCUCCUGAACCAAUGUGACAUGGAUUUUUUCUUAUCUAAAUGCUUAGGAUGUUCUUAGCACUGGGAAGCUCAUCUGAGCUUCAUGCUUGUUUUAAUAGGGUUCCUGAUUCUUCUUUAUUUUCCCUAUUCCACAUGGAGCUGGAUCCCAGCAGAGGGUUCCAAAUGAUAGCGGAAAUCUUCUGACCUCACACCUGCCUCCUGCCUCCCUGGGACCCACUGAAGGAUUUCUUGUCCUUACUCCUUUCGAAGUGGCAGUGAAUGAGCUACAGCUGCAUACGAGAACAUGGAUGAAUCUCACAAACAUGGAGCCAGGAGGAAAAGGCAUACAUCCUGCCUGAUUCCGGAUACAUUAUGUGCAGAAACGGACAAACCUAAUCUGUGGUGUUAGCAGUCAAGACAGUGUUUAUUUUUGGAGUGGGAUGGGCAGUAUUUCUAGGGUCCUGGUAAUUUUCUAUUUCUUCAUCUCAAUGUAAACCUUUUGUGAAAAUGCAAUGAGCUGUGCAUUUGUCAUUUGUGCACUUUCAUAUGAAUGUUACACUUUAAUAAAAUUUUACUUUAAAAAUA